AUUGAACGCUGGCGGCAGGCCUAACACAUGCAAGUCGAGCGGUUGAAGGGAGCUUGCUCCUGGAUUCAGCGGCGGACGGGUGAGUAAUGCCUAGGAAUCUGCCUGGUAGUGGGGGAUAACGUCCGGAAACGGGCGCUAAUACCGCAUACGUCCUGAGGGAGAAAGUGUGGGAUCUUCGGACCUCACGCUAUCAGAUGAGCCUAGGUCGGAUUAGCUAGUUGGUGGGGUAAAGGCCUACCAAGGCGACGAUCCGUAACUGGUCUGAGAGGAUGAUCAGUCACACUGGAACUGAGACACGGUCCAGACUCCUACGGGAGGCAGCAGUGGGGAAUAUUGGACAAUGGGCGAAAGCCUGAUCCAGCCAUGCCGCGUGUGUGAAGAAGGUCUUCGGAUUGUAAAGCACUUUAAGUUGGGAGGAAGGGCAGUAAGUUAAUACCUUGCUGUUUUGACGUUACCAACAGAAUAAGCACCGGCUAACUUCGUG
rnacentral:rRNA from 1 species